AGUUGAUUCUCUUCGGAGAUGAAGCUAGCGGCGGACCGGUGAGUAACACGUGGGCAACCUGCCUCAUAGAGGGGAAUAGCCUCCCGAAAGGGAGAUUAAUACCGCAUAAGAUUGUAGCUUUGCAUGAAGUAGCAAUUAAAGGAGUAAUCCGCUAUGAGAUGGGCCCGCGGCGCAUUAGCUAGUUGGUGAGGUAACGGCUCACCAAGGCGACGAUGCGUAGCCGACCUGAGAGGGUGAUCGGCCACAUUGGGACUGAGACACGGCCCAAACUCCUACGGGAGGCAGCAGUGGGGAAUAUUGCACAAUGGGGGAAACCCUGAUGCAGCAACGCCGCGUGAGUGAUGACGGCCUUCGGGUUGUAAAGCUCUGUCUUCAGGGACGAUAAUGACGGUACCUGAGGAGGAAGCCACGGCUAACUACGUGCCAGCAGCCGCGGUAAUACGUAGGUGGCGAGCGUUGUCCGGAUUUACUGGGCGUAAAGGGAGCGUAGGCGGACUUUUAAGUGAGAUGUGAAAUACCCGGGCUCAACUUGGGUGCUGCAUUUCAAACUGGAAGUCUAGAGUGCAGGAGAGGAGAAUGGAAUUCCUAGUGUAGCGGUGAAAUGCGUAGAGAUUAGGAAGAACACCAGUGGCGAAGGCGAUUCUCUGGACUGUAACUGACGCUGAGGCUCGAAAGCGUGGGGAGCAAACAGGA
rnacentral:rRNA from 1 species